rnacentral:rRNA from 1 species
GACGUAGGGUGCGAGCGUUGUCCGGAUUUAUUGGGCGUAAAGAGCUCGUAGGCGGCUUGUCGCGUCGAAUGUGAAAUCCCGUGGCUCAACUGCGGGUCUGCAUUCGAUACGGGCAGGCUAGAGUUCGGUAGGGGAGACUGGAAUUCCUGGUGUAGCGGUGAAAUGCGCAGAUAUCAGGAGGAACACCGGUGGCGAAGACGGUGCCCUGGGCCAUACCUGACGCUGAGAUGCGAAAGCGUGGGGAGCGAACGGG